rnacentral:rRNA from 2 species
UGGGGAAUUGUUCACAAUGGGCGCAAGCCUGAUGACGCAACGCCGCGUGGGGGAUGAAGGUCUUCGGAUUGUAAACCCCUGUCGAAUGGGACGAAAGACCCGGGAGCUAAUCAUCCUGGGAGUGACGGUACCGUUAAAGGAAGCCACGGCUAACUCUGUGCCAGCAGCCGCGGUAAUACAGAGGUGGCAAGCGUUGUUCGGAAUUACUGGGCGUAAAGGGCGCGUAGGCGGCCAUCUAAGUCAGACGUGAAAUCCCCCGGCUUAACCUGGGAACUGCGUCUGAUACUGGACGGCUUGAGUAUGGGAGAGGGAUGUAGAAUUCCAGGUGUAGCGGUGAAAUGCGUAGAUAUCUGGAGGAAUACCGGUGGCGAAGGCGGCAUCCUGGACCAUUACUGACGCUGAGGCGCGAAAGCUAGGGGAGCAAACGGG